AUGUCGGUCGGGGACACGGUAACAAAGCACUUGCAUCCCUAUCUCACUCGAGACUCACCCGCAUCUCUCCCUCACGCAUCACCGGCGCUGGUGCCCUGUGCCUCGCCCUCUCUCACCCGCACCACCUCUCCCCGAGCCCCUCGCUCGCUCGCGUCACCGGCGCCCUCUCCCCGUGCGCGUCGCCAAUGCUCUUUUCCUCUCAUAUCUCUGUCUGCAUAUUUAAAAAUGGGAUUUUCCCCCUCCGGCUCUCCGAUCUUGAGAGGUGGUGCUCGAUCUGCGAAGCUGCUACUGGUGGUCGCCUGCCCGGAGCUGCUGCUGCCUGAAUCUGGUAGCUGCACUGUAGAUGUUCUUCUUGAGCUGGGACCGCUUGUUGGUUUCUGCUACAAGAGGGAGGAGGCGAUGUCGGCCAAGUACCUGCAGGCGUUGGAGAGGAGAGGCGACUGGAGAUGCACUGGCGUCGACUGCGUGUGUCUCAUCCUCAGCAGAAACGUGCCCUUCGGCCUCCCCAUCAGCCACACCCUCGCCAUUUGCUUCCCCAAGGUCUGCAAGUCCCUCUCCGUCCAGCUCAUGUGCAGAGAUACAGCAACGCAAAUCCCAGCUCCACGUAAAUUACCCUCAGGCUCCCUCUCUACGUAA
rnacentral:rRNA from 1 species